UGCAGAUGUAACUACGAUUUAUACCAGACGUGUGGAAUUGCAUGCAGCUAAGAGAUGCACACUUGCAGGCGCACACACUUUGUUUCUGAAGAGAAGAGAAUGAAUAUAGACACAAUGGACUGACAUCAAAAUUCAACAAUACGUUCUUACGUUAGUUUCAUCUUCAAUCUCGACUUCUUUUUUUUAACAAGCAAAACAAUGUUGAGAAUUUUGUUGAAGAAACUUCCGACGAACAGAGAAGAACGUACCGAUGGAAAAUGAACUGAAGAAGCAGCCCAAGGUUAAAUGUCGAUUCCAGUGUCAUACUACCGUUAAGGUUAGAUUAUCGGUAAUAACGGUAGAAAGAAGAGGCUGAAUCUUUAUAUUGGGCUCAAUCGGACAAAGCUUGACUAAAAAUCUCGCCGAAAACAUCAGCGACCGCUUCCGGCCGGUUCCAGGUUCUCUUUCCAGGUGCGCUGCGACGUUGCACCUCAGUGCACCGGGUCAAACGAGAGCGUUCGGUGAAGGAAGAGGACAGCUCUCGCGAGGGGAGGAUGCGCGGAGAGGCGGUUCCGGCGAAAAAAAUUAAUUGGGCGGAUGUAAUCCGAUCGAUUCCCACGAUUCGACUAUGCGCCGCCUUUUAUACACGAUAAACGGCCGAUUACUCCUUUUCGAUGGUCGACGGACGUCCGCGCCUCGCAGGAUUUUGUGUUUCGUACACGGCUGGAAUUAGGGAGCGGUUACAGGUUACAGACACUGUGUAUCAUCUCUUUUCGCUCUCGUUUCUUUUCCCGGCCGGUAAUGGAUUAUAAUAACGGUGUGUGCUCUCUUGUUUCCUGCGAAAUACACGCUCGUACCAUUUCCAAAAUCUUCCCUCCCGUCUGUUUGAAAAUUUCUUUAACAUUUGUAACGGAACAUGACUCUCGUAACAGAAUAUUCUUUCUUAAUCGCACUGUAUAUAAUUCAUUACGCGUUGGUUCCACUGUUCACCCUGUUGAAAUUUAAACGAUAAGUUUUUCUACGUUGUCAGAUUGAUCUUCGCGGUUCUUUUUCGAGCGACAUUUUUCACGAGCGGAAAUUCGUUCGAAUUACCCGACAGAAGCUAAAUGAACGCCUAUACACGUAAAUCGUCUAUCGCUUUCCCAUUUCUAAACCCGCCGAUGCGGGCAUCGAUUCGACCCUAAUAACCGGAAUAAUUCCAGCCACCUCGUGAAAGCGACCGCUUAAUGCACCUAUUUAUCGGGCUGAUUCUUUUUCUCUCUCUUUUUUUUUUUUUUACUAAUCAAAAACCAGCUGAUCCAACACGAAUCAUUUGCAUCGUGUUAAAAAUGUAAACGUAAUUGUGUGCACGUGGUUAAUUAAUUAAUACGGUAUCGUCCAAGUAUCAUACACUGUGGAUAAUUAGAGACGCAUGUUUCUUUGUCGCGCAAUAAAUACUGAUCCGUCGGCACGUCCCGACAGGGAUACUCACAUGGCGCCAAUACGAGCUUCGCGAGCUUAAUUAUAGUCACCCGAUUAGAAUGCACCGGCAGAAGAACCGUGGUCGUUCGAGGUACAAGUGCAAUCUUUCCUUUUGCGUUCGUGUCUCUGGCUGCGAUUCUAAUUGUAAGUGUGAUUUCUCAGUUUUUGCAGCGUCGUUGAUGAAAUAAGAAUCGCAUCGGGAUCGACACAGAGCAAUAUAAGUGACAUUGAUCUUUACGUAGAAAAUUGAAACCACACAUUUAGGAAGAACGACAUCUAAACAUUUUCGAUUUGAACUUCAGGCAAUUCUCAAAUGGACCACUUGAGGACCGCAAAAAUUUUACAAACAUAUUUACAAGUACUGCGAUUAUAUUUUUA